CACACACACAGGCGCGCGCUAGAGAGAGGCACACACAGGUGCUACAGGCUCACGAGCGAUGGAGGACAGGACACAUAUGAUGAUGUUUUGAAGACACCUGAAGAACAAGAAGUAAAUAAAAAAAUUAGUACAAAAUAAAAAAGGUAUCAGCACUUGUCGUUGUGUUUCUAAUUACACCAUUACUGCACUAUUCAACAUGGCCGUUUCAAUGAAAAACUAUUUGUCACAUAAUUAAAAAGAAAAGAGGAUCACUUUGCAAUCAGAGCCACCUUCAACUACAGAGAUGUCAUCAGAGAUCUGUAUAUUGAUAAUAUGUUUGCACCUUUAGAUUAGCAAUGGAAUUCCCUCAACACAAUUAUUCUUUCAUCUACAGGACUAAAGACGCUCCGCCAUAAGACCUUGCCCACAGUACGU